rnacentral:lncRNA from 1 species
GUGGGGAGAGGUGAGUCAGGAGUUUGGGGUCAGUACGCACACACUGCUGUGUGUACACCAGGUGACAUAAGGAGCUGCUGUGUAGUGAGGGAGCUGUACUCAGUAUCUUGUGACGACCUGUAACGGGAAAGAAUCCGGAAGAAUAUAUAGUCGCUCAGUCGUGUCCAGCUCUUUGGGACUCCAGGGCCUGUACCUGCCAGGCUCCUCUCAAAGGAGGGAUCACAAGGAGCUGGACACAACAGAGGGACUAACCACACAAGUCCUACUCUGCUCGUUCUCAGCCAACUUGGAGAAAGACAGGACGCCUUGUCAGCACUGCAAUGUAUCCGUGUCUCAUACCCGGGAAACACAGCGCCUCCACACGGACACCAUCCUUUCCACUUCUGAGCCCGAGGAGAAUAGAAGGGACUCCUGGCGCCCCUGGAAUAGGUGCAGCCCGACCUGCAGGAAACCCGUCUGCGGAGUCCUGAGCACGUCACCGGGAACCGUGGCCGCCUGGGGGACGACCGUGAAGGCAGCGGGACGACCGUUCCCCCAAGGAGGCAAGGAAGCGCUUCCGGCGCACUUCGGGGAGGAGGACGGGCGGCCCGUGGUCCCUUGCGGUGCCUCCGGUUCUGGACACCAGGGCCGGCCCUCUCCGGGGAGAGGACACACGUUUGUGAAUCGGGACUAUCGGGGUCCAUGGGGGAGGCUGGGAAGACUGGACAUGUCUGCGUGCGUCCGUGUGGUCCGCACCUCCGGGCGCGUGGGAAACAUGGAGAAGGUGUAACCCCGCGGACGCCGGCGCCGUGACCUUUCCUGCUCGCGCUCAGCUGCCCGGCGGUGCCCGCGGGCAGAAGGGGCCCCGCGGCGCGCUGGUCCACCCGGCCGGGCAGCGACACCGACCGCCGCCGCCCGCCAGGCCGCGGACCUGCAGCCCGAAUCUCCGGAGACAGCAGGCUCUUCCCGGGUCUCACGGCACCGGGAGCGUUGCCGCUGUCACCCCCGGCCUCUGGAGCUCUGCCCCGGGCUCGGCGGCCGAACCUUCGCGGGAGUCGCCAACGUUCCCCGGGAAGG